UUUUCUUUUUAUACUCCUUGUGUGAGCCUUUAAGGCAGGUCUAGUGGCAGUGGGGCUGGCUCGGCGGAUCCCUGUCAGUCACUUUGCUCUCGUACUAAGUGUACUUUUGUGCCAUUUAAGCAGCCGAUGGUGUCAUUGGCGUUGAGAGUGCAGCUUCUACAGCUCACACUGAAGGCUUUGGGGACCCAGGAGGGCGCGAGUUGUUUUAAGAUACAUGGCCAUUUGACAUACCCGUGUUAAGUUCAAUCUUGCUACAAAAGAAGGCCAUUUGUACUUCCUGACCCUGAAAGCAAGAACUGUGUCUCUUUAAAUCUACUGAGGAAGAUAUUCCUUCUGGCCCACAGGAUGCCAAAAUGACUCGAUGAUUUAUUUAUGCAGCGCUUGGCAGCCCAUCGUCCAGAUUGUGGCUGAAGCUGAAUUUUAUGAGCCUUCCCCCAGCAAGAAACAGAACGGAAAUGGAGAGGAGAGCCCAGCAUGACUUGCGCCGUGCCAAAGGAAUACGUAAACGUCUACUCUUGAGCCUUCCAGUGGCCACUGGUACCUUUGGACCUUGAGCUGGAGCUGCAGCCUAGAGUUAUUAUUUAGCUUUGCCCUUUGUCUUUGAGAAAUAUCUUGAAAGAGCCAGGUUGGUCCAGACCUGCUGGCAAGCCUGCAGCCCCAUCCACCGAUUACCUAAUACACUUGUGACAUCUGCUUUCCUUGUUGUGAGAAAACACAGGGAGGAAGUGUGUGCAGAAGGGGUGAUGCCUGACCUACACACCCGGCAAUACCAGAAGUUUCACUACCUUCCGUUGGUAAACGCUUCAGGGAAGGCUCUGCAACCCUGAACGUGUUUUAUUGUAGAACCUCACUAGGAAACUCAUCAGUAUUUAUUAAAGAUGAAUUAAAAGAAGGAGGAAAAGGAAAAACGGGAUAGUGAAGAGAAUAGAUGAAUGAAAAAGAAGCAAAGGGAAGAGAGGAGGAAGGGACAAAGAGGGCAAGAAAAGAGAAAAGAGAGAUGAGAGACCAGGACUUCCCACCUAACCUUACCAAACUUUUUCAGUUGAGCUUUUAAUGGGAUACUAUUCCCAAGAGGAAAUUCAAAAAGAAAACCACCUUGAAACAUCCUUGCUUUUAAUUGUACUCUUUCAACUGCCAGGAAAUUAAUUAGGUAAGACAAAAAGAAAA
rnacentral:lncRNA from 1 species